UCCGAGCCGAUUGUGGUGAAGUGGAUGAUCCUGUGCUGCGGAGAAAAGCCUCUAGUGAGUGUUGUGGCGGCCCGUACCCUAAACCGACUCAGGUGGUCAGGUAGAGAAUACCAAGGCGAUCGGGUGAACUGUGGUUAGGAACUCGGCAAAUUGCCCCCGUAACUUCGGGAGAAGGGGGACCUCUGCUGGUGAUGGGCUUUACGUUCUGAGCUGGUGGGGGUCGCAGUGGCCAGGGGGAAGCGACUGUUUACUAAAAACACAGGUCCGUGCGAAGUCGUAAGACGAUGUAUACGGACUGACGCCUGCCCGGUGCCGGAACGUUAAGGGGACCGCUUAGCCAGCUUCGGUUGGCGAAGGUGAGAACUUAAGCGCCGGUAAACGGCGGUGGUAACUAUAACCAUCCUAAGGUAGCGAAAUUCCUUGUCGGGUAAGUUCCGACCUGCACGAAUGGCGUAACGACUUCCCCGCUGUCUCAACCACAGACCCGGCGAAAUUGCACUACGAGUAAAGAUGCUCGUUUCGCGCAGCAGGACGGAAAGACCCCGGGACCUUCACUACAGCUUGACAUUGGCGUUUGGAACGUCUUGUGUAGGAUAGGUGGGAGACUAGGAAGCUGUCACGCUAGUGAUGGUGGAGUCAUUGGUGAAAUACCACUCUGGUCGUUUUGAACGUCUAACUCUGGUCCGUGAUCCGGAUCGGGGACAGUGUCUGGUGGGUAGUUUAACUGGGGCGGUUGCCUCCUAAAGAGUAACGGAGGCGCCCAAAGGUUCCCUCAGCCUGGUUGGCAAUCAGGUGUUGAGUGUAAGUGCACAAGGGAGCUUGACUGUGAGACUGACAGGUCGAGCAGGAGCGAAAGCUGGGACUAGUGAUCCGGCGUCGGCGUGUGGAAGCGGUGUCGCUCAACGGCUAAAAGGUACCCCGGGGAUAACAGGCUGAUCUUCCCCAAGAGUCCAUAUCGACGGGAUGGUUUGGCACCUCGAUGUCGGCUCGUCGCAUCCUGGGGCUGGAGUAGGUCCCAAGGGUUGGGCUGUUCGCCCAUUAAAGCGGUACGCGAGCUGGGUUUAGAACGUCGCGAGACAGUUCGGUCCCUAUCCGCUGCGCGCGCAGGAGACUUGAAGGGGGCUGUCCCUAGUACGAGAGGACCGGGACGGACGAACCUCUGGUGUGCCAGUUGUACCGCCAGGUGCACGGCUGGUUGGCUACGUUCGGAAGGGAUAACCGCUGAAAGCACCUAAGCGGGAAGCUCGCCUUGAGAUGAGGUCUCCCACCCCGUGAGGGGGUAAGGCUCCCGGUAGAUCACCGGGUUGAUAGGCCGGAGGUGGAAGCACGGUAACGUGUGGAGCUGACCGGUACUAAUAGGCCGAGGACUUGACC
rnacentral:rRNA from 1 species